rnacentral:rRNA from 1 species
UACGGAGGGUGCAAGCGUUAAUCGGAAUUACUGGGCGUAAAGCGCACGCAGGCGGUCUGUUAAGUCAGAUGUGAAAUCCCCGGGCUUAACCUGGGAACUGCAUUUGAAACUGGCAGGCUUGAGUCUUGUAGAGGGGGGUAGAAUUCCAGGUGUAGCGGUGAAAUGCGUAGAGAUCUGGAGGAAUAACGGUGGCGAAGGCGGCCCCCUGGACAAAGACUGACGCUCAGGUGCGAAAGCGUGGGGAGCAAACAGG